UGAAAGGCAGUCUGUGGAACCAAAUUGGAUUCAUGCUCUCCUCUGCAUUCAUAACACUAUUUUCAUUAAACGGUGGUAAAUUGCGUAGCAAUUUGUCUCGGAUCGUGAUUGUUGUGUGGCCUUUUCUUGCAUUAGUUCUCACUCAAAGCUUCACCGCUAGUUUAACAUCCAUCUUUGCUGCUCGAAGGAUUGGUCCGGCAACUGUUGACGUGAGACACUACGGAAGACAGGAGCAAAGAUUGGGUGUGAUGGAGACUCCUUUGUGGUGGCAGAUUUGAGAGAUGUAUUAAAGAUUCACCCUGACAAUAUUGUAAGGAUUGAUUCAAGAGAUGGUUAUGCUCAAGCUCUUGUUACUGAAGAGAUAGCAGCAGCAUAUCUUGAUGUUCCUUGCAUCGAAGUUUUCCUAGCUAAACAUUGCAAGCGAUUCACUAAUUCAGGACCAACAUUCAGAGUUGGUGGUUUUGGAUUUGUGAGUAUCGUUUCACCAUUAACGUCUCAUUGUUUCCAUGUGUUUUCAAUUCUACAGCGUUUUCAGUAUUGUUAGAAGAUUAUUUGAUCUUAUGUUUAGAGGUUUUUUCAAGAAGUUCCCCGUAUCUUCUUGACAUUUCAGAAGCAGUUGUAGAGGUAGCAGAAAGUGGGGCAUUAAAAGACCUAGAUAAUUCUUUGACCUCCUCGUACAAGUGCUUGGCCUCAGAAUCCGAUGGCCAUACUGACAGACUACGACUUUCUAGCUUCCGGGGACUCCUUGGAAUUACCGUUGGAACAUCCACAAUUGUUCUUCUGCUCUUUUGUACUUGUCCCCGCAAGAAAAUAAGAAUAGCCCCGGAAGAAGCAACAGCAGAAGAACCACCAGGACCAGCAGCAUCAGCCACAUGUAGAGCAGCCACAGCAGCAGCAACCUGAUCCAGCUGCAACAGAAUGAUUGAUCUGGACAACGUUAAGGAAACGCAGCAAGAUCCAGCCACACAUGAACAAGGCUCCUCCUUUUAGAAAAUGGAAAAUGCAGGCAAAAGAAAAGCCAAGGUUUUGGUGGAUAAAUUAAGAUAAAUUGCAUCCAUAUUUCAUCAUCAAUAGAAAAAAGAAAUGCCUCACACUUGUAAGUAUACCCUAAUGUCCUGAAUGAAAAGGGCAUGCCACCAACGUCUCUUUUAACAUGUAAUGUCUGGAAAACCCCAGUUGUUAAGAUUACUGAAUUCUUCUUUAAAAUACACAGGUCAUAAGUUUCCAAGAAGGAUUCAUCUCAAGCCAUUUUGUGAUACACUUAAA